GAUUGAACGCUGGCGGCCGGCCUAACACAUGCAAGUCGAGCGGAUGAAGGGAGCUUGCUCCUGGAUUCAGCGGCGGACGGGUGAGUAAUGCCUAGGAAUCUGCCUGGUAGUGGGGGAUAACGUCCGGAAACGGGCGCUAAUACCGCAUACGUCCUGAGGGAGAAAGUGGGGGAUCUUCGGACCUCCCGCUAUCAGAUGAGCCUAGGUCGGAUUAGCUAGUUGGUGGGGUAAAGGCCUACCAAGGCGACGAUCCGUAACUGGUCUGAGAGGAUGAUCAGUCACACUGGAACUGAGACACGGUCCAGACUCCUACGGGAGGCAGCAGUGGGGAAUAUUGGACAAUGGGCGAAAGCCUGAUCCAGCCAUGCCGCGUGUGUGAAGAAGGUCUUCGGAUUGUAAAGCACUUUAAGUUGGGAGGAAGGGCAGUAAGUUAAUACCUUGCUGUUUUGACGUUACCAACAGAAUAAGCACCGGCUAACUUCGUG
rnacentral:rRNA from 1 species